UACGUAGGGUGCGAGCGUUGUCCGGAAUUAUUGGGCGUAAAGGGCUCGUAGGCGAUUUGUCGCGUCGGGAGUGAAAACCCAGGGCUUAACCCUGGGCUGGCUUUCGAUACGGGCAGACUAGAGGUAUGCAGGGGAGAACGGAAUUCCUGGUGUAGCGGUGAAAUGCGCAGAUAUCAGGAGGAACACCGGUGGCGAAGGCGGUUCUCUGGGCAUUACCUGACGCUGAGGAGCGAAAGUGUGGGGAGCGAACAGG
rnacentral:rRNA from 1 species